rnacentral:lncRNA from 1 species
UUCAUUAAGGACAGAUAGUGCUGACAUUCAAAUCUCUUCUCGCCAGAGUGGAUCUCGUGGCAAUGCUGUGAGUGACAUUAACCAAAUGAAAAAUCGAAUGUGAGGAACAGCAUCCGCUUUCCACGCGCAGCUCCCAGUCUUCUUCCGGCUUUCUCCAAGCAUCCAAACCUUCAGCCAAAUGAUAAACAUCGUUCAAAGUAAAGCGCCAGUUCCUAGAGAAACUCCAACCGAACUCAGGGUCUCCCUUGCCCCUCUUCCGAUCUGGACUGCCUGUAUCAUAUUCAGAAUCUCGUUAGGAAGCGAUAAGAGAGUCUGGAAAAGUCCCAAACUCCCGUAGAAAUCGAACAAGUCCUUCACUUUCAACUCCAAAUCACUGACACGUCGAGGCUCAAUUACUAGAUCCCCUAAUGGACCAGACCCUGGUCAGAUGUCAAGUACGCUUUCCAACUAGUGAGCCUAGUCCGAGCCUUCUCAAUGAUGAACCCAAAACGACAAGCACUAACACGAUCUGUAUGCAAAGUAAAUCCCGACUAGCAACACCUAGACAACCCAAGCCAUCUGUGGAGAUCGUCAUAAGCAGCAAUAAUACCAGAGAGUUAAAUCACACUCAUCAUAUCAUAUCUCCGGAAAAGAAGACCUCGGAUUUACUGAAAAUUUAACCUUUUUCCCAGAAUCCUCACAGAAAGACUUGAC